rnacentral:rRNA from 1 species
UACGAAGGGUGCAAGCGUUACUCGGAAUUACUGGGCGUAAAGCGUGCGUAGGUGGUUGUUUAAGUCUGUUGUGAAAGCCCUGGGCUCAACCUGGGAACUGCAGUGGAAACUGGACAACUAGAGUGUGGUAGAGGGUAGCGGAAUUCCCGGUGUAGCAGUGAAAUGCGUAGAGAUCGGGAGGAACAUCCAUGGCGAAGGCAGCGACCUGGACCAACACUGACAUUGAGGCCCGAAAGCGUGGGGAGCAAACAGG